rnacentral:rRNA from 1 species
UACGUAGGGGGCAAGCGUUGUCCGGAAUCAUUGGGCGUAAAGCGCGUGUAGGCGGGUCGGUAAGUCCGCUCUGAAAGCCCGGGGCUCAACCCCGGGAGGCGGGUGGAUACUGUCGACCUCGAGUCCGGAAGAGGCGAGUGGAAUUCCUGGUGUAGCGGUGAAAUGCGCAGAUAUCAGGAGGAACACCAAUAGCGAAGGCAGCUCGCUGGGACGUUACUGACACUGAGGCGCGAAAGCGUGGGGAGCGAACAGG